UUCAUUUUAGAGUUUUUCUAUUUGAAUCGUUCGUGCUAUCAACGUUUCUGUUUCCAGUUAUCUAAAUAUGAUCUGGUUACCCUAAAAAGACAGUAAAAUUUUUUGCAUAUGUCCUCUACUUUAUCUUAAUUUUUGUGCACGGUCUUAUUUAGGUCUAAAGUUACAAUGGCGGCGCAAGAUCCAUCAUGACUUAUAUAUGCUAACUUUUCCAUUAAUUGUAUUAGUUGUACGGGCUUCCAUGGUGCGUCAACCAUUGCUCAAGCCGGCCGUCUUGCAUGCCUUUCUUCUGACGGUUUUGAGUAUCAACCCGAAACCGCCUUAAUCUUCCUGGUUACUUCAUUCCUUACUUGGCAGCACAAGAUGGGCCAAUUCACUCUGGAAAUAAGCAGUUUGAUUUUAUAAUGAACGCGCUUCUAUCAAUGAACAUGGUGGUGACACUCUUGGUGGCGACAAUACUAGACAACACCGUACUGAGCAGUCAACAGGAACGGGGUGUGUACCGUUGGUCAACUUCUGAUGACCUGUCAUCUGAUCCAUCUUCUCUCGAUGACUAUAAAUUACCAAGCAAAGUUUCUCGUGUUUUCAUAUUGGCAAAGUGUUUGGAUGCAUGACCUUACAUAGUCAAUAGUCAAUUUUGUGCGUGCCACCUCAGCAUAAUCCUACAUCUCGAACAGGUGGAUGGAUACAUGUAUACAAAAUAUGAUCAAUAUAGUGGACACAUUGUUCUUCAGAUGGUGAUUUCACCAAUGUAGCUGAUUUAACUUUGUCUAACCGAGAUUCAAGCUCGUUACACAUGUGAUGGAUAGAAAGGUGCACCCAUACACAUUUCGCAAUGAAGACCGGUACUUGCAUUUCAACUUCAGUCAAGACCCUUAUGUGGAAUUUGAUUACUAGAUAAACACGAUAGGAGUUGACAGGCUUUUUACCGAUUUUCCUGGUAGCCUCCACCAUUACCAGGAAUGGACCUCUUCACCUUCCGAUAAGCUCGUUGCCGACAAACUAUGGAAUGAAAUGGUUAUGUGAAA